rnacentral:rRNA from 1 species
GACGAACGCUGGCGGCGUGCCUAAUACAUGCAAGUCGAGCGGACGAAUCGAAAGCUUGCUUUUGAUUCGUGAGCGGCGGACGGGUGAGGAACACGUGGGCAACCUGCCCUGUAGACGGGGAUAACACCGAGAAAUCGGUGAUAAGACCGGAUAACACGAAAUGUCGCAUGGCGGUUCGUGGAAAGACGGAGGAAGCUGUCGCGACAGGGGGGGCCCGCGGCGCAUUAGAUCGUGGGUGUGGGGAAGGGUCACCAAGGCGACGAUGCGGAGACGACGUGAGAGGGUGAUCGGCCACACUGGGACUGAGACACGGCCCAGACUCCUACGGGAGGCAGCAGUAGGGAAUCUUCCGCAAUGGACGAGAGUCUGACGCAGCAGCGCCGCGUGAGCGAAGAAGGCCUUCGGGUCGUAAAGCUCUGUUGUUAGGGAAGAACAAGUAACGCCGUAACUGGCGUUACCGUGACGGUACCUGACGAGAAAGCCCCGGCUAACUACGUG